UACGGAGGAUGCGAGCGUUAUCCGGAUUUAUUGGGUUUAAAGGGUGCGUAGGCGGGAUGCCAAGUCAGCGGUAAAAAUGCGGUGCUCAACGCCGUCGAGCCGUUGAAACUGGCGUUCUUGAGUGGGCGAGAAGUAUGCGGAAUGCGUGGUGUAGCGGUGAAAUGCAUAGAUAUCACGCAGAACUACGAUUGCGAGGGCAGCAUACCGGCGCCCUACUGACGCUGAGGCACGAAAGCGUGGGUAUCGAACAGG
rnacentral:rRNA from 1 species